GUACGACCGCAAGGUUGAAACUCAAAGGAAUUGACGGGGGCCCGCACAAGCGGUGGAGCAUGUGGUUUAAUUCGAAGCAACGCGAAGAACCUUACCAGGUCUUGACAUCUUUUGAUCACCUGAGAGAUCAGGUUUCCCCUUCGGGGGCAAAAUGACAGGUGGUGCAUGGUUGUCGUCAGCUCGUGUCGUGAGAUGUUGGGUUAAGUCCCGCAACGAGCGCAACCCUUAUGACUAGUUGCCAGCAUUUAGUUGGGCACUCUAGUAAGACUGCCGGUGACAAACCGGAGGAAGGUGGGGAUGACGUCAAAUCAUCAUGCCCCUUAUGACCUGGGCUACACACGUGCUACAAUGGAUGGUACAACGAGUUGCGAGACCGCGAGGUCAAGCUAAUCUCUUAAAGCCAUUCUCAGUUCGGACUGUAGGCUGCAACUCGCCUACACGAAGUCGGAAUCGCUAGUAAUCGCGGAUCAGCACGCCGCGGUGAAUACGUUCCCGGGCCUUGUACACACCGCCCGUCACACCAUGAGAGUUUGUAACACCCGAAGCCGGUGGCGUAACCCUUUUAGGGAGCGAGCCG
rnacentral:rRNA from 1 species